AUUUUAGAAUUUCAGAAAUGUGUCCUUAAAAAGCUGGUGGAGAUCAUGCAGGAAGUCAAGAGAAUUGGAAGUGCAGAACCUAGUAAUUCAACAUACCACAUUAGACGAAUGGAGAGGAUAGAGGAGCUGAAUGCAUUGGAGGAGAAGCUUCAAAAUAAUGAAGAGAGACAUGUUCUGAUGCAGUCAAAAAGUGGGACAGCAAGGCCACCGAUCACGUCAUUUUACAGUGCCGUGGGAAACCACCUUAAACAUGCCCCUGGACGAUCUGGCGGUGGCGGACACACUGUGGCUGCAAACCAAUAACCACUUAAAUAGAUAUAUAUUUUUUUUGUUGUUGUUGUUAUGGCCUAUAUCUUACCUAUUAAUAAAUGUGUUUUGUUGUUACUUUUUUGUCAGUUGUCCUAUUUUGAGAGUAAUUAUUAAUAGGCUAAUAAUAGGCCUAUAAUGAUAUUU
ensembl:lncRNA